CCUACGGGUGGCAGCAGUGGGGAAUAUUGCACAAUGGGGGAAACCCUGAUGCAGCGACGCCGCGUGAGUGAAGAAGUACUUCGUUAUGUAAAGCUCUAUCAGCAGGGAAGAAAAUGACGGUACCUGAGUAAGAAGCCCCGGCUAACGACGUGCCAGCAGCCGCGGUAAUACGUAGGGGGCCAGCGUUAGCCGGGUUUACUGGGUGUAAAGGGAGCGUAGACGGGAGUGCAAGUCUGCAGGGAAAGGCGGGGGCUCAACCCCCGGACUGCUCUGGAAACUGGACGGCUGGAGUGCAGGAGAGGUAAGUGGAAUUCCUAGUGUAGCGGUGAAAUGCGUAGAUAUUAGGAGGAACACCAGUGGCGAAGGCGGUCUGCUGGACAGCAACUGACGCUGCGGCGCGCAAGCGUGGGGAGCAAACAGGAUUAGAUACCCCAGUAGUC
rnacentral:rRNA from 1 species